rnacentral:lncRNA from 1 species
GAAUUUUCCAAGGACAGGCUGACCGAGAAAAGCUACUGUCUGACCAUGCACCAGAAUUGGUAACGUGGCACCCCUGAAGCAGCAGAGGUGACCGGCUGGACUCUUGGACCAGGAGGACAGCUGCCCCCCCACCCCCCGGGGUGUGUUGCCAAGAUCUGCCCCUGAUGGGAUUAGUGACUUCAGGACAGCUGGAACAUUGCAGUGCCAUUUCCUACAGUGAGAAGAGACACGAUCUUGACUCUGCUUUGGAAGGAGGUGACCAUGAGGAGCAGCUGAAAGCUAGAUGGUUCUUUAGACUCUGUGACAGAAACAGUAUGCACCAGGCCUAUCUGCUCACGGCGACUCCACAGCGGCCCCACCGUUUCCUCUUCCCACUCACCGAGCUCCGCCCUACGGAGACACUGUCCUGUGAACUGGGCAAAGCCGAAUGGUCUUGUUCUAAUUCCCUUCAUCAUCUUUCCACAAAGGGAGACAGGCCAUUGUUCUCCUGGCCCCUUUCACACAGCGACAGCAGGUUUUCAAAGCUCUGAGGGAUAGGAUGCUGUGAAAGGCCCCGGAGAAGGGACCAAUCAGCCUCGAGUUCAAAAACCCACUGAGGAGCUGUCAGGGUUUAUAAUGGUCCUCUGAGAACCCCUGGGAACUUACGAGCCCUUGGAGAUGCUCGUUCCUGACUAGGAAAAGAAAAUGGUUUGGGUUUGAUGAAUUCCCAGUACCAGAUAGAAAUAUGAAGCCCUCCGAAAUCUGUGACUGGUGGUGAGAGAGUCACCUUGGUGAUGUUGUUGAGGACAUCAGGUUCUCUGUCUCUCAUUCCAUAAAAUAUCUGUGAUGGGAUGGCUGGGGGAUUUGAAUCUCUAAAACCACAUGGAGAAAAGACAUGGGAUAAGAAACAGG